rnacentral:rRNA from 1 species
GACGAACGCUGGCGGCGUGCUUAACACAUGCAAGUCGAACGGUAAGGCCCUUCGGGGUACACGAGUGGCGAACGGGUGAGUAACACGUGGGUGAUCUGCCCUGCACUUCGGGAUAAGCCUGGGAAACUGGGUCUAAUACCGGAUAGGACCACUGCCUGCAUGGGUGGUGGUGGAAAGCUUUUGCGGUGUGGGAUGGGCCCGCGGCCUAUCAGCUUGUUGGUGGGGUGAUGGCCUACCAAGGCGACGACGGGUAGCCGGCCUGAGAGGGUGACCGGCCACACUGGGACUGAGAUACGGCCAAGACUCCUACGGGAGGCAGCAGUGGGGAAUAUUGCACAAUGGGCGCAAGCCUGAUGCAGCGACGCCGCGUGUGGGAUGACGGCCUUCGGGUUGUAAACCUCUUUCAGCACCGACGAAGCGCAAGUGACGGUAGGUGCAGAAGAAGGACCGGCCAACUACGUGCCAGCCGCAGCAGUAA